rnacentral:lncRNA from 1 species
AUUUUAACAGACAAUGCAAAAGUUCUGAUAUUGUUAGUAACACUGUUUUUUAAUAUAAAUAUAUAUAGAAAGAUUGAGAAAUUGAAAGCUGAAGCUACCAUGGAAAGGAAUGACUGUGCAUCUCUUAUAGAGGGGAUGGAAGAUCAAGCAAAUGAUGAAAAGUGCUACCCAAUGCUGGUUGUUCUGGCAUAUCUUCUGCCACCGUUGCCUGGAAGUCGCUGCAGUGUUAAAUAUGAAAUUUCAUUCCUUCCAAUUUCCAUUUCGGUAUGUUUUACAUGGACAGUUAUUCUUUUAAUGAUGUCUUGAUGCUUUCUAAACACCUGAAAUGUAUUUGUUUUUAAGCCUGGAGCCAUAUUGCAUCCCUCUGCAGCAGUUUUGAGACCGCAUCAAAGACCAGACCACAGCCAGUCUACAUUGAGAGUUUGAAGAGCACAACAUGACAAUACAUCAUUGCGACGAUUGACAAAAUGACA